UACGGGGGGAGCAAGCGUUGUUCGGAUUUACUGGGCGUAAAGGGUGCGUAGGUGGUCAGGUAAGUCUGAUGUGAAAUCUCUGGGCUCAACCCAGAAACUGCAUUGGAUACUAUCUGGCUAGAGGAGUGGAGGGGGGACUGGAAUACUUGGUGUAGCAGUGAAAUGCGUAGAUAUCAAGUGGAACACCAGUGGCGAAGGCGAGUCCCUGGACACUUCCUGACACUGAGGCACGAAAGCUAGGGGAGCAAACAGG
rnacentral:rRNA from 1 species